rnacentral:rRNA from 1 species
UUCGCCCUUAGAGUUUGAUCCUGGCUCAGGACGAACGCUGGCGGCACGCUUAACACAUGCAAGUCGAACGAGAGAAGAGAAGCUUGCUUUUCUGAUCUAGUGGCGGACGGGUGAGUAACACGUGAGCAAUCUGCCUUUCAGAGGGGGAUACCGAUUGGAAACGAUCGUUAAUACCGCAUAAUAUAAUUGAACCGCAUGAUUUGAUUAUCAAAGAUUUAUCGCUGAAAGAUGAGCUCGCGUCUGAUUAGCUAGUUGGUAAGGUAACGGCUUACCAAGGCGACGAUCAGUAGCCGGACUGAGAGGUUGAUCGGCCACAUUGGGACUGAGACACGGCCCAGACUCCUACGGGAGGCAGCAGUGGGGAAUAUUGCACAAUGGAGGAAACUCUGAUGCAGCGAUGCCGCGUGAGGGAAGAAGGUUUUAGGAUUGUAAACCUCUGUCUUCAGGGACGAAAAAAGACGGUACCUGAGGAGGAAGCUCCGGCUAACUACGUGCCAGCAGCCGCGGUAAUACGUAGGGAGCGAGCGUUGUCCGGAAUUACUGGGUGUAAAGGGAGCGUAGGCGGGAUCGCAAGUCAGAUGUGAAAACUAUGGGCUUAACCCAUAAACUGCAUUUGAAACUGUGGUUCUUGAGUGAAGUAGAGGUAAGCGGAAUUCCUAGUGUAGUGGUGAAAUGCGUAGAUAUUAGGAGGAACAUCAGUGGCGAAGGCGGCUUACUGGGCUUUAACUGACGCUGAGGCUCGAAAGCGUGGGGAGCAAACAGGAUUAGAUACCCUGGUAGUCCACGCCGUAAACGAUGAUUACUAGGUGUGGGGGGACUGACCCCUUCCGUGCCGCAGCAAACGCAAUAAGUAAUCCACCUGGGGAGUACGACCACAAGGUUGAAACUCAAAGGAAUUGACGGGGGCCCGCACAAGCAGUGGAGUAUGUGGAUUAAUUCGAAGCAACGCGAAGAACCUUACCAGGUCUUGACAUCGUAUGCAUAGCUCAGAGAUGAGUGAAAUCUCUUCGGAGACAUAUAGACAGGUGGUGCAUGGUUGUCGUCAGCUCGUGCCGUGAGAUGUUGGGUUAAGUCCCGCAACGAGCGCAACCCUUACUGUUAGUUGCUACGCAAGAGCACUCUAGCAGGACUGCCGUUGACAAAACGGAGGAAGGUGGGGAUGACGUCAAAUCAUCAUGCCCCUUAUGACCUGGGCCUCACACGUACUACAAUGGCUGUUAACAGAGGGAUGCAAAGCCGCGAGGUGGAGCGAACCCCUAAAAGCAGUCUUAGUUCGGAUUGUAGGCUGCAACCCGCCUACAUGAAGUCGGAAUUGCUAGUAAUCGCAGAUCAGCAUGCGGCGGUGAAUACGAACCCGGGCCUUGCAC